CAUUCGGUGCCUGCCGGAUGCCACACGUCCUGCCUAGAGUCACUCUGGCUGGCACACUUCCUUGCUCCCUGGUGUGACCACACUAGUCUCACUCCCAGCAUUCCCUUCCACCCCACCCUGCCAACAUCCCUGCUUGCCACUCAAUGUGAGCACAUAAGAAGGACAAGGCCUUCUGCAAACACCUCAGUCACCAUCUCUGUUGGGAGGAGCAGCAAUGCCCCAUCUCUGGGCAAGUGGAAGAGACUCUCAAGUUUAGCUGUUUAGAAAUGCCAGGCUGGGUAUAGUGGUGCACCUGUAAUCCCAGAAGUUGGGAGGCAGGAAUAUCAGGAGUCUUACGUGUUAUCACUGGCACGACUAACCUGGAAGAAGGAAGCUGGGGGCAGGGCAGAAGCCGCCAGUGACACUGGUCUCUGAGAUCCCGGCUGCAAUGUGCAAGGCAGUAGCAUCUUUCUCAGAGGGUUAGAAGAGUCCCCAGCUCUAGAGCGAAGGUUCCAGUGCUAUCAGUGUGGGUCCAGCAGAGACCUGGAGGCGGCCUGGAGUCUCCUGUUGGAGGUUUGUGAGGUGAGGCGGGCAGUCGCCCUCCUGCUAGAGCUGGGGACAAGGAGGCAGCAUCUUGGUGACACUUGACCAGUGGGGAUUGUGGCUGGUGUAUCACCCUGCUUGGUUCAUGCACCUCUUGCCUCUCCCCUUUACUCUGCAGCAAAGAAACAUGGCAGAGCGAAUCGGGAAAGGAAAGGUCAGGAACCCCUCCCCCCAGCCUUCUUUCUGCCCCAAGUGCUGACCUAGGUGGAGAGAGAUCUCCACUGUCACACAAGUGCAACAUGCUGGAGCAGCCCCUGCCCAUAGGGGGUAGGAUGGAGGAGACCUGUGGCCAUGGGGCAAGGCCCUUGGAAUCAGAGGUGAUGGCUAACGUUGCUGUCGUGGCUCUUCCUGCAGUUGGGGUUCUGUCCCUCCUACUUUUCUGAUUGGGUCCAGAGCAGGAACUCAACAGUGGACAGGUGAGGGCUUGGUUAGCUGCCCUGACAGUGGCCCUGAGCCACCUCCUGCCUUCAUAUUGAAGAAACGGUACUGUACCGGGGCACAGGAUUUGUGGGUUGCAAAGGCUGAACGUUGUCUGGCUUGUCUAGGGCAGGGGCUCUGGGCCAGCAUCAUACGGGGGAUAGAUGUGUGAGUAACAUCUUCAUGACCUUCCUAAGCCAGACCAGAGCUGGAUCCUGUUCCUUCCAGACUGUGAUGGGCUCCAU
rnacentral:lncRNA from 1 species